rnacentral:lncRNA from 1 species
AACUCCGUCGCUUGCUGUCUCGCUGUCCCCUCUCUGCCCCGCGCACCUCGCUCCCCCUCCCGGCCGGCGCUCGCAGUGGCGCGCCUGCUCGCUCUCCCGCUAAGCGACGAGUCUUCAACAAGUUGGAGGAAGGCAGGAACGCAGGGGUUAAGCUCGGAAAGCCGCAAUUACCAAGAUCGUGACCCUCCCACACAGUACAGUAACUUAUAUACUUACCUGGAAGAACCCGCUUUGCCGCCGGGCAAACACCCGUGGGGGGCGGGGAGGGGCCGGAGGGAGCGGGCCGGCAGGAGAGGGGCUGCUUCCAGCUGGCUGCAGUGCGGACGGGACCGGCGCGCUCCCGUGGCCCCCAGACCGAGGUGGUCAAACCUGUCCUGACACCCAGAGGUCUGCAUGAGGGGUGGCCACUGAAGGAGGAGUUCUCAAAGGCCACAGGUGAUGAAGAGCUUGGAUGAAUAAACUUAGAAGUCCCAGGAAAAUAGCAAAAAUUUCAUCUCCUGAAGAAAUUUGAAGAUUUUUUUGGAUAUUCUUUUAAAGGUGAAACUUUUCUUCUUUAGGAUUGGACAACUGAAUUUAAAGGCAAGUUAAAGUUCAAUAUUUUGAACAAUGUUUAAAUCAAGAUGAGCGAGAAGACAGAACUGUUAAAAGGUUUUAUUUUACAGCCAAGUGAAGGAUUCAGCUAUGUCCCAAAGGAUUAAACAAGAUGGUAUGCUUAAUAAUUCCUCGCUUCUAUGAAACUCCCUGAUUAUGAAGUGUACUUUCAUUCUAUAGAACUACUCCUGAUUUCAUCAGGAAACUCUGAUCUGAAACUCAAUUUACAGAAAUAUUAAAAAUGAAUUUUCGACUAAAUGGGAAUAUUUGUAUACUAAUAUGAUACAAUAUUGUUGCUUCAUUUUUUUCAUAUUAAAUACUAUUCUAAACUCUAAAUUUGUUAAUAAAUGAAGCAGAAAUCUAAUGUGAUUACAUCUGAGUAUUUUAUUUGUGUAAUAACAAAAUAUUUCUAGAGACUCUUCUACUCUCCUUUAGUCUUUUUCUUUUCUUUUCUUUUCUUUUCUUUUCUUUUUUUUUUUUUUUUUUGAGACAGGGUCUCACUUUGUUACCCAGGCUGGAGUUCAAUGGCGCAAUCUCAGCUCACUGCAUCCUCCGCCUCCCAGGCUCAAGCAAUUAUCCUGCCUAGCCUCCCAAGUAGCUAGGACUACAGGCAUGCACCACCAAGCCCAGCUAGUUUUGUUUGUUUGUUUGUUUGUUUGUUUGUUUGUUUGUAUUUUUUGUAGAGACAGGGUUUCGCUAUAUUGCCCAGGCUGAUUUCGAACUCCUGAGCUCAAGGGAUCUACCCAAAGUGCUGGGAUUAUAGGCAUGAGCCACGGCACCCAGCCUUUAGUCAUUUUUUAGAUGCUGCUUUCUCUGAGCUAGUUCUGGAGAUAUGAUUUCAUAGUCACACCUUUUUGGUUCAAAUUCCAAUUCUUCCACUUACUAGCUUUAAGCUUCUGUUUCCUCAUUCAUAAAAUGGGGUUAAGAGUAGUACCUACCUCACUGAACACUUAAUAUCUAUCUGCCAAUCACUGCUAAAUGCUUAAGUAGUAUUGUUCUCAUUUUACAGAUGUGGAAUUUGAAUGCAUAAUAAUUAAAUCUAUACAAGAUCAUACAGCUAAUAAGAGGCAGAAUCAGGAUCUGGUUCCAGAUUUACCUGACACUAAAGGCCAGAGUUUUAUCGUAUUGCCUCUUCUUCGGAGAGCUAUUAGUCACAUGUUUGGUUAGUAUGGCUCUACUAACCCUUCAUUAGAUGUUAAAUUUCAGCACAGAAUACUGCUGAAUAGGAGUGGGUCAUCAUUAUAGGGUCCUGUAUGCAUUAGAGUUUACUGUGGUUCGUAAAAUUUAUUCAGCGACAAAGGAUUGUUGAAUUCCAAAAGUGUGUGACCACCUGAACUCCAAAGGGCUAUCUGGCAUGUACUGCUUCACUUUGUGGAAGUCGCCAUUUUUU